GGAUAUGAGGGCGAUCUGGCUGCGACAUCAGUCACCCCAUAGAUCGCCAGGGUUGAUUUGGCUGAUCUGGCUGACUAGGCGGGUGUCCCCUUCCUCCCUCACUGUGCCAUGUGCAUCCCUCCCGAAGUUGUGCGCUUGAUGAAAGAGGACAGCCUUCCUGGAAUAGAGACAGAACUGGUCUUAAGUUGAGGGUAUACUAGUAGCUGCGCUCCCCUGCUAGAACCUCCAAACAAGCUCUAAUUUAACCCUACAAUAAAAAUACAUACAGUUUAUUUAGUUUUUUUAAGGUUUUUUU
rnacentral:snRNA from 1 species